rnacentral:rRNA from 1 species
AACGAACGCUGGCGGCAGGCCUAACACAUGCAAGUCGAGCGCCCUUUCGGGGGAGCGGCGGACGGGUGAGUAACGCGUGGGAAUAUGCCCUUCUCUGCGGAAUAGCCUCGGGAAACUGAGAGUAAUACCGUAUACGCCCUACGGGGGAAAGAAUUAUCGGGGAAGGAUUAGCCCGCGUUGGAUUAGGUAGUUGGUGGGGUAAUGGCCUACCAAGCCGACGAUCCAUAGCUGGUUUGAGAGGAUGAUCAGCCACACUGGGACUGAGACACGGCCCAGACUCCUACGGGAGGCAGCAGUGGGGAAUCUUAGACAAUGGGGGCAACCCUGAUCUAGCCAUGCCGCGUGAGUGAUGAAGGCCUUAGGGUCGUAAAGCUCUUUCAGCUGGGAAGAUAAUGACGGUACCAGCAGAAGAAGCCCCGGCUAACUCCGUGCCAGCCGCCGCAGUAA